UACGUAGGGGGCAAGCGUUGUCCGGAAUCAUUGGGCGUAAAGCGCACGUAGGCGGAUUGUUAAGUCGGGGGUGAAAUCCUGGAGCUCAACUCCAGAACUGCCUUCGAUACUGGCGAUCUCGAGUUCGGGAGAGGUGAGUGGAACUGCGAGUGUAGAGGUGAAAUUCGUAGAUAUUCGCAAGAACACCAGUGGCGAAGGCGGCUCACUGGCCCGAUACUGACGCUGAGGUGCGAAAGCGUGGGGAGCAAACAGG
rnacentral:rRNA from 1 species